rnacentral:lncRNA from 1 species
GUAUCUACACAGUGCUGAAGAGAUCUACAGCAUCUACACAGUGCUUAAGGGGUCUACAGCAUCUACACAGUGCUUAAGGGGUCUACAGUAUCUACACAGUACUAAAGAGGUCUACAGCAUCUACACAGUGCUAAAGAGGUCUACAGCAUCUACACAGUGCUUAAGGGGUCUACUGCAUCUACACAAUGCUAAAGAGGUCUACGACAUCUACACAGUGCUAAAGGGCUGUACAGUUAAUUCUUGAGUAUUACAUUUUCUUUUUCAGAUUUGUGGCUCUGGAAGAAUUUUGUUUAAAGGGAAUACGAAGUUAAAACGAUAAUAUUGGCAUGGAGCCCGACUAACCUUUGUCACAGAAAAAACAGUAACUGCGCAUGUUCAGUGCAUAUCCGGCAAAGUAACGUUUACUAAGGGUUUGCCAUCUCCAGCAAAAUAUACACUGCCUAAAAAAUAAGGAGAACUAAAUCCACUUUGACUUAAUACUUGGCAUCAUUGCGAAUUGUGUAGUAUGAUGUGUGUCUUCCAUUCAAUGUAAGCCACAAUUUGCUCGUAAUAAUUUAUAAUUAUCUUAGUACGACGUCAUGAAACCAAACAUUGUGCCUUUCUUUAAGCUGGCAGCUCAUAGAAUCCUCAUUUAAACUGUACUUUUUUUUCUUGCUUUUUUUUUACUAGAUAGUAUAAAAUAAUUAAAAAAUAAUGAGAACCUGCCCACCUCUCCAAUUGUCAAGGCCUCACUGUCAAUAUAUUUUUAUUUUUAGUUUUUGAAUUUGCCUUAUUCCACCCCCCCCCCCCCAUCACUACAUGUGAAGAAUAGUUUCCAAAUAAUGAAUGUUUUUACCUGAAGGUACCAUGGUGUAAAUCUUUUCCUAAGUUGAAUGAUAGAAUGUUCCUUUGUACGAGGUUAAGCUGAGUUGAAUGGAACACUUCUCUUCGACCCAUAAUCCUCAAAUCAACUGACAAGGAUUUCCAUUGUGUAAUAUUUAAAAUGAGAGAAAUAAGUGUUAUUUUUUCAAUUACAGGCAUUUGGAUACCAUCAAUCAACACAUUCAGCAGUGCUACAAACGUAUCUGUGCUGUUUCCAGGAUAGACCGUGCAGUUAUACUUGCCAAGAAAUGACAACAUGAAAGUCAAGAUACAACAUGUUCCAGAUGGGAACUGUGAUGGAGUCACUGAUGCUGCCAAACAAGGAUGCCUUCCUUGCACCUGCACAUAAAGAGGGCUAACUACCAGGCAACCGUAUACAAGCGGGCACUGGAUGCAAGUCCUGAAGUGCCGUCUCCACACAGAAGAGGAUGGAAGGUCAUAGGUUAAUGACAUCAGUAUCCACUGGAUGGAUAUUCCCCCUGCCCCAGACAGUGCAAUGGAAUUGGCCCAUUGCUCAUGUAAAAAAGUCAAUGCACAAAAGGCAAGUGUAGCUGUCUUGAAAAAAAACUGCCGUGCACAGACUUGGGCAAGUGCACAAACUGUGAAAACAUUCCAAGUGAAGGGCAGCGCACUUUACCAGAGAGUGAUUCAGAUAUCGAGGCUUAACUACUGUAAAAAUUGACCACGUACAUGUAUGUCUAUCUAAAUAAGGAAUAAGAUUGUCACUUCAGAAACUAUGAAUCACACAGUCUGCUUCCCAUCCACUUAAAUAUUUCCAAAUAUGAAUCUGACAAUAGCAUGAUAAUAUGAAACAAAUUGCAGUCUUACAGUUGAAAUGGACACCGUGGACUUUGUUACGGGAUUUCUCCACUUGCAGUUUCAGCAAGGGGAUGGGAAAUAAUUUACCGUGUGUUUUCCUUUUUGACAAUCCUUUUUUUAAAGCGCUGACCGUGAAGCAAAAGAAGUUGUUUUGGUAAUUUGUAAGAGCUUAAACAGUUUAUUCCUCUUCGGUAAUGUUCAUGAUUACAGUCAUUUCAUUUGUUGAUGAAAUAGACUCUAUUAAGACAUGCUUGAGAGUUUUUUGUUAUAGUAAUUCCUUUGGGGGGGGGGGGUGCAGAAGAUUGUCCUCCAAGAUGCUAGGCAAAAGGCCCAAAAGGUUCUAGGUUGAUGCCUUUGUGCAGAGAGAAAUGCUUCAUAUUUUCAAUGAGAUGUAUUCACCAAUCCUUUCAUACAUUGUACCAUGUUCUCGACCGCAGUUCUGGCUUUUUUGAAGUUUGAUGACAUGUUUCGUGUUCGCCUUAGACCCUUCAAUUGAUUUGAAAUUUAGACAAUGGAACUCACUGUAGAUAACGGAUGUAGUUUCAAGAUACCAAUGGAUUUGCCAUUGAAAGAUUCAUGUCUGUUCACCAUUUUUGAAAUGACUAACCUUUGUUGAAAUGAUAUGAAGAACAGAGGGGUGCCAGGUUGCAACAGUCUUUCCCGGAACAUGUUUAAUAUUUAAGACAGUUGAUACAAAUUUAAAGGAAUGUAAUUGCCGUUAAUUUGAAUCCUAAAUAAUAUUGGCUCCACCGUAUUGUAAUUUUUGCCAAUCACAGUAAUUAUUUCUGAAGUAUUUUUAAAUAAAGGUUACCGUAUUGUCUUUUGUAUGAAUAAAUAUGCAUCAAAGGCUGAAGUUAUAAAGCCCUGUGGUCAUGUUUAUUUGUUCAUUCAGACUAAAUUCAUUGGUAUUUAUGUCGGACCCUUUAUUGACAGUUAUCAUCAUAAGCCUGCACCCUGUACAACCUUAUCAUCACGGAUACAUGUACCGGUAUACAUGUACACAAGAGGAAAGUCUUUCUGCCAAGGGGCACAUAAGGGGACGGGCUAUUCUAGAUUGGAACAAAUUCCCGUAGCAAAAGUAGGAAAUCUGUCUCGUUGCGUGGUUGAAUUAGUCCAUCAUAAAAUUGAUUUAUCACUGUUUUUUUCUGUUUUUUGCAUUGUGUCAUUUCUUAUUUAAAGACUACUUUUCCAACAAGCUGGCUUAUAAUUGUAUAUUGAUAUAACACAACAAAAUAGACACCAGAUAACUCAGUUUCCAUGAUUUGUAAUAUAAAGGGAUUCCAUCUCCAUCCUUUAUUUUAUUACAAAAUGUUUUCUUCGGUUCUUGUUAUCAGACAUGCAACAUUAAAAUAAUAAGGAAAGAGGAAAAUACAAUCGUUACAAUACUUUCUACUGUAAAGCCUGUGUUAAGCCUGGACAUGAGUUUAAAGUUAAAACUGAUGAACUCAGCUUAUCCAAGGAAAAGUUGUCUUUCUAGGAAUGUCGGACCCAUUAAAUAUUCAUUGAUAUACAGUACAUGUACAGUACUUUACCUGUUACCGCGAAAGUAGUACUAAGUCGCCACAGAAUGUUUCCCAUUAACAGCAUUGUGUGUUUUUUUGCUGAUUUGGGAAAUUUGAGAAUCAUAAACACAAAAUUGCUUUUAAAACUUAGUAAUUUUUUGUAGUAAAUAGAUAUAAAAUGUGCACUUUAUAUUA